GUAGGAGCUUGGUGGAGUGGUCUGGAUUCGGUGGGCCUUUGGGGACUGGUCCGGGAGUCAGGCGUGGGCGUGAGGCCUUUCCUAGAAUCUGAAUCCCAACUUGGGCGGGAGCGCACCCUGAGGAUGCCGGAAGUGAGGAAUUCUGGCUGCUCGGCAUCCUGGAAGAGAAGUGUCUCAACACAUUCUUUGGACUGAAUUUCUUCUACAGUGGAACCAAGAAGAGGAUUAAUUAAUACAUUCAAUUCUAAAAUAAACCAUGGCCAAUGGGUUGGUGUUGUUCAGAGAUGUGAGACGUCUCUCAAGAAGAAUGGGAAUGCCUGAAUCCUGCACAGAGGAAUUUGUACAAAGAUGUGAUGUUGGAGUACUAGAGCAACUUGGUUUCACUUGGACUUUCUGUUUCUAAGCCAGCUGUGAUUGCCUCAUUAGAGCAAGGGAAGGAACCCUGGAUGGUUGUGAGGGAAGUGACAGGAAGAAAAUAUUCAGCUAAGAACCAGACAUGUGAGUGAGGAAGCUGUUGAAAUGAUUUGGCCUGACCACUAUCUGACUACCACUGAAGAAACUCCAAACUUGGCAUCAAAAGCUGACCCCAAGAAGUUAUCUCCAAAAAGGGACAUUUAUGAAAUAGAAUCAUCCCCAUGGGCUAUUGUGGAAAAUUUUAUUCCUGAGGGAUCCAUUUUCAGGGAUAUUUGGGAAUGCAAAUGUCAUUUUGAGCAAAAGGAGUGUUAUUUCAGGCAAUUUAUGAUGUACCAUGAAAACGUGCCCAUUUUUAUUCAACAUACUUUACUUACUCAAAAUGGAAAGAAAAUCUCUGAAUGUGAAAAAUGUAGAAAAAACUUCUAUUAUCAUUUAUUCUUUUGUCAACACAAAAAUCAUUCUAAAGAACUUUCUGAAUGUAAAGAGUACACAGAAAUUAUUAAUACCCCGUUCCUUAUUAAACAACAGAUAAUUCAAUAUGGUAACCAAUGCAAUGGAUGUAAGAAAUGCUGGAAGACCUUUAUUCAUUGUUCACAACUUAAAAAACAUUUGAGAAUUAAUAAUGGUGAAAAACGCUAUGAAUGUAGAGAAUGUGGAAAGGCUUUUAAUUAUGGCUCAGAACUAAUGUUACAUCAGAGAAUUCACAUUGGUGAGAAACCCUAUGAAUGUUAGGAAUGUAGGAAGGCCUUUAGACAGAGAUCACAACUGACUCAACAUCAGAGACUUCAUACUGGUGAGAAACCCUAUGAAUGUGAGCAAUGUGAGAAAGCUUUUAUUUGUGGCUUUCAACUUACUGAACAUCUGCAAUUCCAUACUGGUGAGAAUCCUUAUGAAUAUAAAGAGUGUGGAAAGACUUUUAGGCAUCGCUCACACCUUACCAUACAUCAAAGAAUUCUUAUGGGUGAGAAAUCCUAUGAAUGCACGGAAUGUGGGAAAGCCUUUAGCUAUUACUCAAGCUACUCUCACCAUCAGAAGAUUAAUUCUGGUCAGAAGCCUUAUGAAUAUAGUGAAUGUGGAAAGGCCUUUCAUAAUUGGCUUAAAACUUAACCUACAUCAGAGAAUUCAUACUGGUGAGAAACCCUAUGAGUGUAAGGAAUGUGGGAAGACUUUUAGACAGUAUUCACACCUCAAAAGACAUUAACAAAUUCAUACUCAUGAGAAACCCCAUGAAUGUAUGAUAUGUGGUAAAACCUUUAGACUUCAUUCACACCUUAUUCAACAUCAGAGAAUUCACACUGGUGAAAAACCCUAUGAAUGUAAGGAAUGUGGAAAGACCUUUAGCUAUCACUCCAGCUUCUUGCAUCAUCAGAGAAUGCAUUCUGGAAAGAAACCUUAUGAAUGUGUCAAGGUCUUUAAUCAUGGCUUACAACUCAAUCUACAUCAGAUACUUCAUACUGGUGAGAUACCAGUAAAGUUUCCUCUCCUCCCUCCACAUCCAAGUUUCACUUCAUAAAAUUAUUUUUGGAGAAAAUACACCUUUUCCUCUCUAAUUUCCAUAUAAGAGAAAAUGUACGACCCUUGACCAUCUGAAAUGGGCAUAUUCCCUAAACUAAUGUUCUUAAGUUCCAUCCAUUUUCCUGCAAAUGAUGUAAUUAAAGUUUUCUUCAUGGCUGAACAUAACUCCCUUAUGAUAUAUACCAUAUUUUCUUUAUCCAGUAAGCCAUUGAAAGAUUCCUAAGCUGGAUCCAUAGUUUGGCUAUUGUACAUUAUGCUGCUAUAAAUAUGGGUAUGCAUGUAUCCUAUAGUAUGAUAACUUUAAUUCUUUAGGAUAAAUACAAGUUCUAUUCCUAGUAUUUUGAGGAGCUUCCACAUUGAUUUCCAUAGUAGUUGUAUUAUCAUCCCACAAGAGCUUCCUUUUUCUCCAUAUAUCCUCUCCAGCAUUUUUUUUUUUUUUUUGGUACUGGGGACCAAACCCAGAGGUGUUUUACCAGUGAGCCACAUGCCCAAGCUUUUUUAUUUUUUAUUUGGAGGCAUGGUCUUGCUAAGUUGCUUAGGACAGCCUGGAAUUUGUGAUCCUCCUGCCUCAACUUCCUGAAUUGCUGGGAUUACAAGUGUGUGUCACUGCACCUGGCCAUUGUUUGUAUUCUUGUUGGCUGCCAUUCUGACUGGAGUGAGGUGAAAUCACAGCGUAGUUUUGAUUUUCAUUUCCCUGAUUGCUAACAGUGUUGAAUCAUUUUUCAUAUAUUUGUUGGCCAUUUUUAUUUCUCCUUUUGAGAAGUUCUGUUCAUUUAUUAAUUGGAUUAUUUGUUGGUAUUAAGUAUUUUUGUGUUCUUUAUAUAUUCUGGAUAUCCUCUGUCAGAAAAGUAACUAGCAAAGAUUUUCUCCAAUUUUGUAGGCUCUCUCUUCACAUUCUUUUUUUAAAAAAAAUUUUUUUAGGGCUGGGGAUGUGGCUCAAGCAGUAGCGCGCUCACCUGGCAUGCAUGUGGCCCGGGUUCAAUCCUCAGCACCA